GUGUUUGCUUUGGCAGCACAUAUACUAAAAUUGGAACAAUACGGAGAAGAUUAGCAUGGCCCCUGCGCAAGGAUGACAUACAAAUGAAUGAAACGUUCCAUGUUUUU